AAAAAGGCAAACCCUAGGUUUACGUGUCCAACUUUGACUGUCCGUCUUAUAUGAAAUUUUUUUAUAAUUCGUAUUUUCAUUGUUGUUAGAUGAUAAAACAUGAUUAAUAUUUUAUGUGUGAUUUGUCUUUUUAUUUUUUUUCAUAAUUUUUUCAAAUAAGACGGACGGUCAAACGUUGGACACGGAAACCAGGGUUUGUCUUUUU
rfam:Oryza sativa Japonica Group DNA, chromosome 1, cultivar: Nipponbare, complete sequence.